rnacentral:rRNA from 1 species
CAAUAGCGUAUAUUAAAGUUGUUGCGGUUAAAAAGCUCGUAGUUGGAUUUCUGCCGAGGACGACCGGUCCGCCCUCUGGGUGAGUAUCUGGCUCGGCCUGGGCAUCUUCUUGGAGAACGUAGCUGCACUUGACUGUGUGGUGCGGUAUCCAGGACUUUUACUUUGAGGAAAUUAGAGUGUUUCAAGCAGGCUUACGCCUUGAAUACAUUAGCAUGGAAUAAUAAGAUAGGACCUCGGUUCUAUUUUGUUGGUUUCUAGAGCUGAGGUAAUGAUUAAUAGGGAUAGUUGGGGGCAUUCGUAUUUAACUGUCAGAGGUGAGAUUCUUGGAUUUGUUAAAGACGGACUACUGCGAAAGCAUUUGCCAAGGAUGUUUUCAUUGA